GGCCAUGUGCUAUUUUAGAGUGGUGUGAACCCAAUUUUAUAAAAUUCAAAUCCCAUUUAAUUAAGAAGUCAAGUGGGCAAGUGGGUAGAAAAGCACUCAAGUAUUUUGUGAUAUUUUGAAGAGUUGUGUGAGCCAUUCUAACCUCCAAAUCCGACCACUCUCCCUCCCUCAUUCACUCUCAUCUGAUUUUUGAAGACUCUCUCAAGUGUUCUCUCCAUUUUGAACCCCAAGAACACCAAAGAAACUUGGAAGCUAAGUCUUGGUCUAGGAAGGGUUUUCCCUAAGUUGGUUAGGGUUUUUGAAAGGUUUUGAAGGAGUCAAAGCUUAUAGGAAGGUCCAAACCUUAAGCAAGAACACCAAAGAGGUAAGGGCAAGGGCAGGGCAGAGCAGUGAGCGCUGGAGUCUUCCUUGCAAAUGUACAUGUGGACCGACCUUUUGGGAAGCCUUUUUAUUUUUGGAAAUGUUGUGUAAUUUUCCUAAACUAGGCUCACUCUAAUCUUUGUAAAACAUGUUUGUAACUAAAUGUUAAGUAUGGCCAUACGACUUUUUUUUUAAAAAAAAAUUCUAUGGGUUUUUGAGACAUUUUGUUAAAUGAAAACAUUUAUAUUUC